GACGAACGCUGGCGGCGUGCCUAAUACAUGCAAGUCGAACGAGUGGCGGACGGGUGAGUAAUGUCUGGGAAACUGCCUGAUGGAGGGGGAUAACUACUGGAAACGGUAGCUAAUACCGCAUACCAUCGGAUGUGCCCAGAUGGGAUUAGCUAGUAGGUGGGGUAAAGGCUUACCUAGGCGACGAUCCCUAGCUGGUCUGAGAGGAUGACCAGCCAAACUGGAACUGAGACACGGUCCAGACUCCUACGGGAGGCAGCAGUGGGGAAUAUUGCACAAUGGGCGCAAGCCUGAUGCAGCCAUGCCGCGUGUAUGAAGAAGGCCUUCGGGUUGUAAAGUACUUUCAGUCGGGAGGCGUUACCGACAGAAGAAGCACCGGCUAACUCCGUGCCAGCAGCCGCGGUAAUUC
rnacentral:rRNA from 1 species